GUGACAGGAUAAACUUCAAAGUUUGUAACUUACAUCUUUCUCCCUUCUUGCUAUGUUUUUUUAAUAUGCAUCUGUUUUUACAGGUAAUGGAGGCCCUAUGCACAAGGUGGAAUACAAUUACUGCCCUACUAGAAAGCAGGAAGAAUGGAUGUAACGGCCAGGAUGACUCCUAGAAAAAAACCAAACCCAAACCAAACAAUAAAAACCUGUUUUGAUACAUGAUUCAAGAAGUUUGACUGAAAACAAGCCAUUUCUGCAGAUACUAUAUGUUACUGGAAGGUAGAAGUAAAAUCCAUAUAUUUUUCACUGGGAAACUAUUUAAAGAUUAUUCUUGAUGUCCCAUUUUUUAUUACUUUUUUUCUCAAGGAAAUAGAACAGCAUUCAACUUACUGGCAGAAUAAGCAACUGUAGUAUUGCUUUAUAAAAUCCAACUGCAGUAACUCUGCAUAGCUGGACAUUCAUAUACCUGACCAGCUUGAUUCAUCUUUUCAACAGAGCAUUUUUACAAUAUGGAAACAAAAACAAUAAUGCAAUGAAAAGAAGAGACAGAAUUAGAGUCAGUGGAAAGCCAUUUCAGCACAUGCUACAAUAUUUUACCUUUGUUCUCCAGUCUGGAUUUAAUAUUAUGUGUAGAAGCAGCACUAUGCAAAACCAGGCUGGAUAUCUAGAGCCUGCCGUUCCUGAGGGAGUCCCAGAGACCUACUUGAUGAUGGGAGUGUUUCACAGCUUUUGGCACACUUCUUUCCUGUAUAUUUCUUGA
rnacentral:lncRNA from 1 species